ACUUCAUGAUGUGGGCAAUUGCGCAAAAGGUCCCUAAAGUGCUCACAUGUAUCGAAAAAUAGUUCCCCAUCCAAUUGUGAGAAGCUAGUGAUGGCCUUCCUAAGCU